AUGAAGCAUUGUCCUGCUGGAAAAAACUAUCCUCAGAGUUGGGGAACAUUGUCAGCGCAGAAGGAAGCAAGUUUUCUUCCAGGACAACCAAAUGUCACAGUGGGUGCGAGACCUGGAGAGGCCUACAAGCCACAGUGUCUCGCACCCACUGUGAAAUUUGGACCCAAACACAGAGCUAUAAAUAGUAAAACCAGAGAAACGGAUCAAGUGGUCUCUUCAUUUUUUCCAGAGCUGUAUAUGUCCAGUGGUUGGGUUCACUUGACGUUGCAGCACAGCAAGAUUCUCAGUAGACGGGGCAUAUGGGAUGUCAGGAACAGUGACCCCAUUGUCAGUGUUUCCAGAUUCCAGAUGAUUCUCCUGAUAAAGCAGGUCCUCCACAUACUGAAUCUGGUCAAAAGAAACACAUAUGUAUUAGUGACGAUACAUUUGGCAGCAACAGGGGCUUGAUAGUCCAGUGAAAACUGCUGAGUGUUUAUGUGGUGUAAAUCUUCAAAUGAGCAGCUGACAUCUUAAUGGUUUUUUAAUGAAUGGAUGUGAAACAGGUUCCAUGUACAACAAGACAGGCAGAGAGGAAGAGAGAAAAAGAACACAGAACAGUUUAAUUACCUCUGGUUAUGGACACUUUACCCAGCAAUUAAGCUUCCACGGCCUGUUCCUCGGACAGUGAACAUACAUCUGGCAAUAUCUACAUUUUCGACCCNNNNNNNNNNGGUUGGGUUCACUUGACGUUGCAGCACAGCAAGAUUCUCAGUAGACAGGGGGCAUAUGGGAUGUCAGGAACAGUGACCCCAUUGUCAGUGUUUCCAGAUUCCAGAUGAUUCUCCUGAUAAAGCAGGUCCUCCACAUACUGAAUCUGGUCAAAAGAAACACAUAUGUAUUAGUGACGAUACAUUUGGCAGCAACAGGGGCUUGAUAGUCCAGUGAAAACUGCUGAGUGUUUAUGUGGUGUAAAUCUUCAAAUGAGCAGCUGACAUCUUAAUGGUUUUUUAAUGAAUGGAUGUGAAACAGGUUCCAUGUACAACAAGACAGGCAGAGAGGAAGAGAGAAAAAGAACACAGAACAGUUUAAUUACCUCUGGUUAUGGACACUUUACCCAGCAAUUAAGCUUCCACGGCCUGUUCCUCGGACAGUGAACAUACAUCUGGCAAUAUCUACAUUUUCGACCCCAUGAUCAGCUCCCACUCUGAAAGUACAGAAAAUAGAUUAUUUUUUGCUGAUAUGAAAACAUUAACUGAGGUAUGACUGUUCAUUCUGAAGCAGCAGAUGUCAUUUUCAGGAGACGUCAAUACAACACAGAAAGCUUAACACCAGACUGGUAUUGUGGUUGUUCAUUAGGUGAUGGGAAAUAUGCAAAAUGCACACAAAAUAAUAGACUUACAGAGUAUUUUUGCCGAGCAAUGCAACAAAGCUGGAUCAUUCUGGAAAUGUAUGUGUGCAUGUGUGUGGUGANNNNNNNNNNNNNNNNNNNNNNNNNNNNNNNNNNNNNNNNNNNNNNNNNNNNNNNNNNNNNNNNNNNNNNNNNNNNNNNNNNNNNNNNNNNNNNNNNNNNGAGAAAGGGGGGAUCCGUGUCCGUCCGUAGAGAGGGAUAGAGGGAACGAAGGAGGAAAAGAAGACAACACUCUUCCCCUCUCACCCCUAUCCCACACAUACACACUACCUCACCAAUCCCUUGACACUUGCAGUAACACACUGGCAGCGUCACAAAGGGCACCCUAUUCCCUAUAUAGCAGACCAAUGUUGACCACAACCCUAUGGUCCCCAGGACAAAGUAGUACACUAUAAAGAUAAUAGGGUUCCCUUUGAGAUUGACAGUCUUUAUUCAUGUGUAUAACGACCCCCGAAACACAUCCUCUCUAUUUGACCCAGAGCCAGAAGAUAAGAUUAUAUUUAUAUAAUCACCCACUCAAUCCUCUCACACUGUGCUGAUAACAUGACUACAUGGCUAUGAACCACAUUACAGUACAUUCACAUUAUCUGAACGUUUUGAAUGAAGAGUAACACUUUAGUUUACUGUACUCCUGACCUCUCCCCCAGGCUCAGUAGCUAGAGAGAGCCGACUGGUGGAUGAGGUUACUGAGAUGACUGCACUGUACUCCUGACCUCUCCCCCAGGCUCAGUAGCUAGAGAGAGCCGACUGGUGGAUGAGGUUGCUGAGAUGACUGCACUGUACUCCUGUUACACUGUAUUGUUUGUAUAGUAUAGUGUACCAUGUAUUAUUCAUGGGAAUACAAAGGACUUUCAUGGUCUUGGGGCUAUGUUGACAGUUAGUGCUGUAAGUAUUGUGUACUGAAAAGUCAUUUCAUCACGUUUCUAAAGAAUAAUAAGAACACUUGAGAGCCUUCUUAGAAUCCGUAGAAUCAUACAGUUGUAGAAUGGGCCAAACCAUUAGUGGUGAUUAUCCACAAACCUCUGUUUAUUGGCAUAGACCAUGGCCUUGGGAUGACCCCUGGCUUCCUGUUGUUUUGGUACAGUCCAUAGAGAAAACAAAUAGAAACAGUACAAUGUUGACUGAGGCAGGACAGGUUAAGUGGUUCGCUCCAGUGGACAGAAACAGCAGGAUGCUUUCAGUAGUUACCAGAGUACUGGGAGAAAUGCUGCUGUAUCUUAACGGGACCCACCUGGGCCCUGUUCAGACCCACCUGGGUCCUGUUCAGACCCACCUGGGCCCUGUUCAGACCCACCUGGGCCGUGUUCAGACCCACCUGGGUCCUGUUCAGACCCACCUGGGCNNNNNNNNNNAUGUAUUAUUCAUGGGAAUACAAAGGACUUUCAUGGUCUUGGGGCUAUGUUGACAGUUAGUGCUGUAAGUAUUGUGUACUGAAAAGUCAUUUCAUCACGUUUCUAAAGAAUAAUAAGAACACUUGAGAGCCUUCUUAGAAUCCG
rnacentral:lncRNA from 13 species